UUCCAUCGUACGAAAUGUCGCGUCGAAGUGGUUUGAGUACAAAGAAAUUUAAAGAACUAGAAGUAUCAAAUCCACAAGAUCUAAUUGCUAGGGAAACAAUAUCGAAAAGGUGUUAUACUUAAAAAAAAAUUGUAACCCCGCAAAAUAGUGAAUUGUUAGAUAGUUCAAUGUUGAGAGGUGAAUCGAUAGAACCAUUGGUACCACUUCUUGUC